rnacentral:lncRNA from 1 species
GCAAAUAAAAUGUAUAUUUCAUUUCAGUAACAUAUCUCAUUAAAUACAAUACACCAUCGACCGACUCCACGCAUUAAGGUUCAACGCCUAACAAGGACACAUCAAAAUAAUUUUACAUGUGCACAAUAGAAUACUACUAUAAGUGCAAGUACACAGAAAAAGGACCCAACAAGUGCACAAUCGCACAUAAAGAGAGUUCCACAAAGAUUGGAUGAGAACCCCAAGUUUCUUCUCAUCCUCUUUCUCUGCACAAUAUGCUCUUGCCACUGCCGCAUGCAAGAAGAAAAUGAUGGUAAGGCUUUCAAGACCAAGGAAACUAGUAUAAUU